GCCAGGAUAAACACUCCGUUACUCUCCCUCUAAACUGCUCUUCUGGGAGGGAGAGAAAAUAAAUAGAGAGAGAGAGAGAGAGAGGCAUUUGAAGUAACCUUUUUAAGGAGAAGGCAGCAACCAAUAGAACCUUUUCUUAUUUUUUUCCACUUCUUACUAGAGAAAUUCGUGUUAUCUCAGCAAUUAAGGAGAAGAGCCAGCAUCUAGGGUUCCAGGCUGUGAGGGGAAGUAGCAACUUGUACCAGAUCUGGAUGGAGUGUUUCUUCAUCUGCAUGAUGCUGUCUAGGACUACAGCUCUGUGACACUCCUCAGCUGUGCUAGCAGAAGAGGCAGAGAGGCUUCCAAGAAGCUCUGAAAAGGAGAAAAGUCUGGAGCUUCUAAUUAGAAAUCAAAAUGUUUUGAGCAUCAUGCAUUCACACUGCCUCCUAGAGCUUAUGUGACUUGAGAGCUAAAGAACACAGCCCUGCAAGCUAUAGUAUA